ACUCAUACCUUGCAGGGGAAAUACCAUGUCAUAAAAGUGGCUUUCCCAGGGGAGGCUCAUCCAUUGCACUUCAGGCAUGCUGCUGAUCCCUUUUUUCCCCCCAAUGUGGGGAAUUCAACUGCAUAAUUUGUGUUAAUGGGAGAUUGCACUUGUGAUUUCCCU
rnacentral:snRNA from 1 species